AGCCCUGGGAUCCCCACGCAGUUGGCCACACUAAGCAUACCAAUUGAUCCGUGCAGCCCUGGAAUAUCGAUAACACGUUAUCGGGAGGUGCCCACAAUCCAAUAGUACGACCUGGGCACACUAGCUGUGGGCUAUAUAUUCAGCGCGAAAAUACAAGCUAAGCUUAGUCACGUUUGUACGGCAAUCGAGGAACAUCAGAAGUAGCAGUUGUGAAGAUAUGUGAUCGUAUCGAUGAUAUAUCAAGUUUAAAAAAUUUUUGAAAGAGUUUCCGAAGUCUCCAUUUUCAUGCGGACAUGGCGAGAUCGACUUGGCUAUUGCUCCUGAUUAUGAAUAAACAAUAUAAUUGAUUUUUAUAAAAGGAUUUAAAUUCUAUAAAAACUAAAAUUAAAAAUUAGAUCCACCGUAUAAUCGAAUUUGAUGUCGCAUUGCAUAACACGAAUGGAAGGAUGAGUUUCCGAACCUUUUACUUUUUUAAAGUAUACUGUAAAUACGAUCCCUUGAUUAAAAUUGAUGAAUACCUUACAAACUUAAAAUGUGUUCACAAAACAUACAAAAACAAUCAAUUUUUAAAUGAGAUCACUUCGGAUAAGCUUUUAAAAACUUUUUCAAGGGGUUGUGUGGCUGAAAUUAUUGGAAACGCCGAUGCUCAGAUCAGCCCGGUACUCAUUAAUUUUUUUUUAUUUCGAAAGAUCAGCAGAAUUUUUCUGGGAUAUUUUUCUAAUAGUUUUCUUUGUAAAUGUAAGAAGAAAUCUCUUAAUAAUUUCAUCAAACAUUUUAAGAGAAAUGACUUUUUAUAUAAUAAUAAAUUAAUACUUGAAAUGUUAAUGUUAAAAAGUCUAAUUUAAAAAAAAAUUAAAUGCAAAAUAUUUAAGAAAAUCUAUUUGGUUUAUUAUUUGGGUCGGUGCUAUACAACUCUUUUGUUUAACUUAUAAUAUUUUAACAUAAUAUUGAAGGCCUCGUCACUUAGAAUCGGAAGCCUAUGGCACUGGCACGUAUCUGGUCCUUCCGAAGUGUCAUCAUCACUCUAGGGACAAAGCUUGUAGUGGAAUCCAUACCUAGAGUGUAUCAGUUCCUUAUCGUCCCAAUCCUCGAGAGUGCUCUUCAAAUAUAUAAGCUACGUUACGUGUUCCUCAAAUAUCAUGUCUUCGAACUGCAUCAAGAAGAGCUCAAUUUGUUUCGAGUCCAUUUUCGUUAAGGUUCUUUUAAGGUGAUUUAAAAACGGAUGUUUGAUUAAGAAAACUCAAACAUUUAUAUGGGAAAAUUUCAUUUACUCAUUUACUGAUAAAAAUUCAAUUUGUGCAGAACUAUAUCUAUUUACAUCCUUCUCUUAUACCCUGAUAGUGGUAAGGGCUGACUCAUAUCCCACCACUUAAAAAUUGUUCGAUUUUGUUUGGAUCGAAGUUUUUAAGUAUAUAUUAUUUGCUAUAGAAAUCCGCUGAGUGCUUUGAGUCAACCCUCCCCGAAUUGCUCUUUUUAAAAAAUUAUACAUAUCACCAUCAUUUAUUAGUUCUAAAUUUACAUUAGUGAACGUGAGCAUAGCAUCCCAUGAUAUUGGCGCAGUGACGUAAUUAAUGGGAUCUAACUUAUAAAUUUUUUUGCAAAUUUUCCUAAAAUUUUCAAACACAUCUGCUAAAAUUAAAACAUCGCUUUCUAAAUAUAGUUUUAAAUAGUCUUUAAUAGUUCGACAGUUAAAUGUCUCCCAAACUUUC